CCUACGGGAGGCAGCAGUGAGGAAUAUUGGUCAAUGGACGAGAGUCUGAACCAGCCAAGUAGCGUGAAGGAUGACUGCCCUAUGGGUUGUAAACUUCUUUUAUAUGGGAAUAAAAUGUUCCACGUGUGGGAUUUUGUAUGUACCAUAUGAAUAAGGAUCGGCUAACUCCGUGCCAGCAGCCGCGGUAAUACGGAGGAUCCGAGCGUUAUCCGGAUUUAUUGGGUUUAAAGGGUGCGUAGGUGGAUUGUUAAGUCAGUUGUGAAAGUUUGCGGCUCAACCGUAAAAUUGCAGUUGAAACUGGCAGUCUUGAGUACAGUAGAGGUGGGCGGAAUUCGUGGUGUAGCGGUGAAAUGCUUAGAUAUCACGAAGAACUCCGAUUGCGAAGGCAGUUCACUGGACUGAAACUGACACUGAGGCUCGAAAGUGUGGGUAUCAAACAGGAUUAGAUACCCCUGUAGUC
rnacentral:rRNA from 1 species